rnacentral:lncRNA from 1 species
GGUUAACAGCCUGUGGUUGCUUGCUUGCUUGUAUUUGAAUGAGUGGUGAGAAAAAGAUUCAAGGUAUCUUUCCAGUAACUAGGAAGCUGUUUCAUUGCAAAUUAAAGUAUUUCUAAGGGACGAGAAUUAGGCACCAUUGAAAAAUCAUUGACAUUUCUGUUUACUUCAGUACCUUCCCUUCAGUAAAUCUGAUGGGCUUGGAUGAUUCUUUGAUUUACAUGUUAAAAAUGGUGAAUUAAUGAUUUAUGCAUAAUUUAAAAUGUUUGACAGGAAGCACCAGAGAUGAUAAAUGAUUCUGCUCAUUAAAAAUCUUUAAUAUAUUUUCUGUUUGUGUGUUUGUUUGUUCAUUUAUUUACUUAUUUAUUCACUCACUUUAAUCCCAAUAUCACCCCCUACUAGUCCCCCAUCAAAUAGCUCCUCCUCCUUUUCCCCCUCUUCUUAUCCUCUGAGAAGGUGGAGGCAGUUCCUGUCUGCCAACCUACUAUGGCACAUCAAAUCACUACAAAACUAAGCACCUCCUCUCCCAGUGUGGCCAGACCAGACAACACAUUUAGGGGAGCAGGAUCCACAAUCAGGCAACAGAGUCAGGGACAGCCCCUGCUCCAGUUGUUGGGGAACCCACCAAAAGACCAAGCUACACAUCUGCUACAUAUGUGUGGGUAUAGCCCAUUUUACUAUCUUUAAUACUUUUGAUAGACAUUUCAUUAAGAUGGUUUAGUGUAGUGCUUUAAAACAUUUCCUGAUUUUUAAAUUUAUAUUUUAUGGAGGAAGUUUAAAAUGAAAUUGCACAGACUCUAUAUUUGGUUAUUUGCUUAAUAGUAAUGUAUAAUUCCUUAAUAUAGUCUCUUGGCUUCAACCAGUAAAACCACAGUAAUAGAGAUAGUGAGAACUUGAAAAUGCUUAUUAGUUGUUAGGUAAUAUCCUAAGUGCCAUAUCUAUGCAUAUAUGUACAUAUAUGUAUACUCAUAAUACACACACACACACACACACACACACACACACACACACACACACAUAUAUAUAUAUACAUUCAUGUAUACAAAAUUAUAGAUGUACACACUUGGUGGAUUGUAAGUG